rnacentral:tRNA from 1 species
UAAUUUAUAAAUCUUUAAUGAUGGUGAACUGUAAAUUCACAUAAGAUAGAAUUUUUAACUUUGAAGGUUAA